UGGAAAUUGAUACAGGGAGUAACUUUUCUUGAUUUUUACUGCCUGCAAGACUGAGGGAGAGAGAGAGACCAUGUCCCUAAUUCUGCAAGAGUUCUUUACUUAACGUGCUACAUGUGAUCAGCUGUGAAAUAAGCAAAUUAAGACAACAUUUGUGAAUUAUUAUUCUGAUUUUGGAGUGCAGAGGAGAAUUGCAAAGGCCAGGGAAGACUUGGAGGUUCCUGCCUGUGGCGUGUGAGAUGUUGUGCUUGAGUUCAAGGACAGCCCUAUCCGCCAAGGAUCACUCCCCCAAGGCCUAAAGGAGAAGAGGAUCCUCCCUUCUCCCAUGAACUGGAUCGGAUUGGGAAUCCAGAAGGGCUAGCCACUCUUCUGGCAUCUGAGAGGGAGCAGGAGAAGCUGAAUUAAAAGGUCCAAUGCUCAGGAUGAAACCGGUUUCAUUUCUUCUGUGUUUUUACAGUGGAGUUUUCCUAUUUCAGACUUUUUGGGACUGUAUUCCUUGUUCAAGUGAACAUUAAAAUUCCUUUUACUGAAAGCAGAUGUCAGUGCAAAUAGCUGUCCUCAGCUGUAUGAUUGAUUUCCUCCCCCCUGUCCAAAGCAAAUCCUUGUAGCAGUAACAGAAGCGCAAGGGACCUAAACAGGUUUGCACUCAGCUAGGAAAGCCUGUCACAUUGGUCACAGGUCCACAACAGUGGGAUUCUAGUGUCCAAUGUCUGUUAAAAAAUGGCUAUGUAAUAGAAGUGAUAGAAUUAUGGAAGCUGUAAUUAUGCUCUGAAGAGAAGGACAACACAGCUGUGCCCACACUAAAUGACUGCCCAAAUUGUAGACUGGAGUUCUGGAUAGAAGAAAUUAAUGGGGAAGGAAGAAAGGAAAGAUGAAGUUCUAUUUAGGAAGUCUGUCUUAUAGUCCAGAGGUCUGUCCCGGUCUGGAUGGCACUAAACUCCUAUAGUGAAGCUAAAAUAUGUAGAGUGUGAAAAGAAAACAGCUGGCAUAAGUGGUGUCAUAAGGCAAGGGACACUAGCAGGCAGAAAAGGCAGCCAGCCAGGAUGGCUGAUGGGUAGAACGACUUCAGGCUCUGCUGUGGCUUUGUGAAGCAGCCCUUCCAGCAACCUGAGGUGGAGUGUGCAGCCAGCCACAAAACCUAAUGCCUAUGAGUCGCUGCAAGGGGUGUGGGUUACGGCUACAGGAAGAGAAGAGCCAGUUGCCAAAAGAAAGAUGACUCCAGGUUAUUGUUUUAAUUGCUUUUAGAGAGGAUCUUGCUUGCUGGGGAUGGUUUGUAUACAUUACUUUAUUUUCUGUGCCUCUUUCCUUUUAACCUCAGCUACAGUGUCAUUUAUUACAAUUAUAGUUUGCAAAUGAGAAAGUCUAAAUCAGUGAGUAUCCUGACUGGCUUGAUGGCAUUCCACAUUGCUGGUUAGGAGGAAAUUUUUUACUAGAAACAGCAUCCAUAGAAACUGCCUAUGGCUAACAAACAUAGUUUUCACAUUUGAAGUUUACCGAGACUUGUAUUUUUUUGAAGGUCAUUGGUUUAUUAGAUUUAAAAAAUCUGUUCCUCACAGACAGAGCAGAGCUGUUGCACACUUAUGCCAUUUCUAAUCUCACAGUUAUUAUUUCAAAUAAUCACUUUACAUUACUGUAUAGUGGUUGAAGAGGUGACUAAACUGCAGUUCUGGAACAGCUUUAUGUUGCCUGGUGAGUCUUUCAAUUCAUAGUCUCUCAUAAUUUUGUAAUCAUGUUAUCAUGAUAUUGUAACUUUUCUACAGCACAGAUUCUGUAUUUUAGUGGCUUCCAGGCUUGUUUAUACAUUAUUUUCAUCUACAUUCAAGGUUAUCUUCCAAAGUACAACAUUAAAGGCAUUCUCUGAAUUAGAGCUGAGAAGGUUGCAAUGCACGACUCCUACCAGUGUUAUUUGCUAGGAGAAGUUCUUGUCAGAAAAUACUGCUUUGGCAAAAGAAGAUUUUGUAUGGAGGAGUAUCGGUAAAUGCUUAUGUUGUAAAUUUGUGCUCUCAGUUUUAUGUUCCAGUUUUUCUUUGGAUUUCCCAGCAUCUGAACAAAGCAAUUAUGCCUGUUUUCAUGGGUAUAAAAGCCUCCAAGUUGUGUUUGCUUUUCCCCCACCCCCAUAUAGUUGGAAAUAAAAUAAUAAAAAUGUUUUUGGCAAUGUGA